rnacentral:rRNA from 1 species
UUACAGGCUUAACACAUGCAAGUCGAGGGGCAGCAUGGUCUUUUCUUGCUAAGGCCGAUGGCGACCGGCGCACGGGUGAGUAACGCGUAUCCAACCUGCCUUACACUCUUGGACAGCCUUCUGAAAGGGAGAUUAAUACAAGAUGUUAUCAUGAGUAAGCAUUUUCGCAUGAUUAAAGGUUUACCGGUGUAAGAUGGGGAUGCGUUCCAUUAGAUAGUAGGCGGGGUAACGGCCCACCUAGUCUUCGAUGGAUAGGGGUUCUGAGAGGAAGGUCCCCCACAUUGGAACUGAGACACGGUCCAAACUCCUACGGGAGGCAGCAGUGAGGAAUAUUGGUCAAUGGACGAGAGUCUGAACCAGCCAAGUAGCGUGAAGGAUGAAGGUUCUAUGGAUUGUAAACUUCUUUUAUACGGGAAUAAACGAAUCCACGCGUGGAUUUUUGCAUGUACCGUAUGAAUAAGGAUCGGCUAACUCCGUGCCAGCAGCCGCGGUAAUACGGAGGAUCCGAGCGUUAUCCGGAUUUAUUGGGUUUAAAGGGAGCGUAGAUGGGUUGUUAAGUCAGUUGUGAAAGUUUGCGGCUCAACCGUAAAAUUGCAAUUGAUACUGGCAGUCUUGAGUACAGUUGAGGUAGGCGGAAUUCGUGGUGUAGCGGUGAAAUGCUUAGAUAUCACGAAGAACUCCGAUUGCGAAGGCAGCUUACUAACCUGUAACUGACAUUGAUGCUCGAAAGUGUGGGUAUCAAACAGGAUUAGAUACCCUGGUAGUCCACACGGUAAACGAUGAAUACUCGCUGUAGGCGAUAUACAGUCUGCGGCCAAGCGAAGGCAUUAAGUAUUCCACCUGGGGAGUACGCCGGCAACGGUGAAACUCAAAGGAAUUGACGGGGGCCCGCACAAGCGGAGGAACAUGUGGUUUAAUUCGAUGAUACGCGAGGAACCUUACCCGGGCUUAAAUUGCAACCGAAUAUGGCGGAAACGCUAUAGCUAGCAAUAGCGGUUGUGAAGGUGCUGCAUGGUUGUCGUCAGCUCGUGCCGUGAGGUGUCGGCUUAAGUGCCAUAACGAGCGCAACCCUUGCCGAUAGUUACUAACAGGUCAUGCUGAGGACUCUGUCGGGACUGCCAUCGUAAGAUGUGAGGAAGGUGGGGAUGACGUCAAAUCAGCACGGCCCUUACGUCCGGGGCUACACACGUGUUACAAUGGGGGGUACAGAGGGCUGCUACCACGCAAGUGGAUGCCAAUCCCAAAAACCUCUCUCAGUUCGGACUGAAGUCUGCAACCCGACUUCAUGAAGCUGGAUUCGCUAGUAAUCGCGCAUCAGCCACGGCGCGGUGAAUACGUUCCCGGGCCUUGUACACACCGCCCGUCAAGCCAUGGGAGCCGGGGGUACCUGAAGUGCGUAACCGCAAGGAGCGCCCUAGGGUAAAACUGGUGACUGG